UACGUAGGGGGCAAGCGUUGUCCGGAUUUAUUGGGCGUAAAGAGCGUGUAGGCGGCCUGGUAGGUCAGCUGUGAAAACUCGAGGCUCAACCUCGAGACGCCGGUGGAAACUGCAAAGCUAGAGUCCGGAAGAGGAGAGUGGAAUUCCUGGUGUAGCGGUGAAAUGCGCAGAUAUCAGGAAGAACACCCGUGGCGAAGGCGGCUCUCUGGGACGGUACUGACGCUGAGACGCGAAAGCGUGGGGAGCAAACAGG
rnacentral:rRNA from 1 species